rnacentral:rRNA from 1 species
UACGUAGGUGGCAAGCGUUGUCCGGAGUUAUUGGGCGUAAAGCGCGCGCAGGCGGUGCGGUAAGUCUCUGGUGAAAGCGCUCGGCUUAACUGGGCGAGGGCCGGGGAGACUGCCACGCUGAAGGGGAGCAGAGGCGAGUGGAAUUCCGGGUGUAGUGGUGAAAUGCGUAGAGAUCCGGAGGAACACCAGUGGCGAAGGCGGCUCGCUGGGCUCUACCUGACGCUGAGGCGCGAAAGCGUGGGGAGCGAACCGG